UUAAGCGACUAAGCGUACACGGUGGAUGCCCUGGCAGUCAGAGGCGAUGAAGGACGUGCUAAUCUGCGAAAAGCGUCGGUAAGGUGAUAUGAACCGUUAUAACCGGCGAUGUCCGAAUGGGGAAACCCAGUGCAAUUCGUUGCACUAUCGUUAACUGAAUACAUAGGUUAACGAGGCGAACCGGGGGAACUGAAACAUCUAAGUACCCCGAGGAAAAGAAAUCAACCGAGAUUCCCCCAGUAGCGGCGAGCGAACGGGGAGCAGCCCAGAGUCUGAAUCAGCUUGUGUGUUAGUGGAACGGUCUGGAAAGUCCGACGGUACAGGGUGAUAGUCCCGUACACCAAAAUGCACAGGCUGUGAACUCGAAGAGUAGGGCGGGACACGUGGUAUCCUGUCUGAAUAUGGGGGGACCAUCCUCCAAGGCUAAAUACUCCUGACUGACCGAUAGUGAACCAGUACCGUGAGGGAAAGGCGAAAAGAACCCCGGCGAGGGGAGUGAAAAAGAACCUGAAACCGUGUACGUACAAGCAGUGGGAGCACCUUCGGGUGUGACUGCGUACCUUUUGUAUAAUGGGUCAGCGACUUAUAUUCUGUAGCAAGGUUAACCGUAUAGGGGAGCCGCAGGGAAACCGAGUCUUAACUGGGCGUUAAGUUGCAGGGUAUAGACCCGAAACCCGGUGAUCUAGCCAUGGGCAGGUUGAAGGUUGGGUAACACUAACUGGAGGACCGAACCGACUAAUGUUGAAAAAUUAGCGGAUGACUUGUGGCUGGGGGUGAAAGGCCAAUCAAACCGGGAGAUAGCUGGUUCUCCCCGAAAGCUAUUUAGGUAGCGCCUCGUGAAUUCAUCUUCGGGGGUAGAGCACUGUUUCGGCUAGGGGGUCAUCCCGACUUACCAACCCGAUGCAAACUACGAAUACCGAAGAAUGUUAUCACGGGAGACACACGGCGGGUGCUAACGUCCGUCGUGAAGAGGGAAACAACCCAGACCGCCAGCUAAGGUCCCAAAGUCAUGGUUAAGUGGGAAACGAUGUGGGAAGGCACAGACAGCCAGGAUGUUGGCUUAGAAGCAGCCAUCAUUUAAAGAAAGCGUAAUAGCUCACUGGUCGAGUCGGCCUGCGCGGAAGAUGUAACGGGGCUAAACCAUGCACCGAAGCUGCGGCAGCGACACUAUGUGUUGUUGGGUAGGGGAGCGUUCUGUAAGCCUGCGAAGGUGACCUGUGAGGGUUGCUGGAGGUAUCAGAAGUGCGAAUGCUGACAUAAGUAACGAUAAAGCGGGUGAAAAGCCCGCUCGCCGGAAGACCAAGGGUUCCUGUCCAACGUUAAUCGGGGCAGGGUGAGUCGACCCCUAAGGCGAGGCCGAAAGGCGUAGUCGAUGGGAAACAGGUUAAUAUUCCUGUACUUGGUGUUACUGCGAAGGGGGGACGGAGAAGGCUAUGUUAGCCGGGCGACGGUUGUCCCGGUUUAAGCAUGUAGGCUGGUUGUCCAGGCAAAUCCGGAUAAUCAAGGCUGAGGUGUGAUGACGAGGCACUACGGUGCUGAAGUAACAAAUGCCCUGCUUCCAGGAAAAGCCUCUAAGCAUCAGGUAACAUCAAAUCGUACCCCAAACCGACACAGGUGGUCAGGUAGAGAAUACCAAGGCGCUUGAGAGAACUCGGGUGAAGGAACUAGGCAAAAUGGUGCCGUAACUUCGGGAGAAGGCACGCUGGUGUGUAGGUGAAGUCCCUGCGGAUGGAGCUGAGACCAGUCGAAGAUACCAGCUGGCUGCAACUGUUUAUUAAAAACACAGCACUGUGCAAACACGAAAGUGGACGUAUACGGUGUGACGCCUGCCCGGUGCCGGAAGGUUAAUUGAUGGGGUUAUCCGUAAGGAGAAGCUCUUGAUCGAAGCCCCGGUAAACGGCGGCCGUAACUAUAACGGUCCUAAGGUAGCGAAAUUCCUUGUCGGGUAAGUUCCGACCUGCACGAAUGGCGUAAUGAUGGCCAGGCUGUCUCCACCCGAGACUCAGUGAAAUUGAACUCGCUGUGAAGAUGCAGUGUACCCGCGGCAAGACGGAAAGACCCCGUGAACCUUUACUAUAGCUUGACACUGAACAUUGAGCCUUGAUGUGUAGGAUAGGUGGGAGGCUUUGAAGCGUGGACGCCAGUCUGCGUGGAGCCAACCUUGAAAUACCACCCUUUAAUGUUUGAUGUUCUAACGUUGGCCCCUGACCGGGGUUGCGGACAGUGUCUGGUGGGUAGUUUGACUGGGGCGGUCUCCUCCCAAAGCGUAACGGAGGAGCACGAAGGUUAGCUAAUCCUGGUCGGACAUCAGGAGGUUAGUGCAAUGGCAUAAGCUAGCUUGACUGCGAGCGUGACGGCGCGAGCAGGUGCGAAAGCAGGUCAUAGUGAUCCGGUGGUUCUGAAUGGAAGGGCCAUCGCUCAACGGAUAAAAGGUACUCCGGGGAUAACAGGCUGAUACCGCCCAAGAGUUCAUAUCGACGGCGGUGUUUGGCACCUCGAUGUCGGCUCAUCACAUCCCGGGCUGAAGUAGGUCCCAAGGGUAUGGCUGUUCGCCAUUUAAAGUGGUACGCGAGCUGGGUUUAGAACGUCGUGAGACAGUUCGGUCCCUAUCUGCCGUGGGCGCUGGAGAAUUGAGGGGGGCUGCUCCUAGUACGAGAGGACCGGAGUGGACGCAUCACUGGUGUUCGGGUUGUCAUGCCAAUGGCACUGCCCGGUAGCUAAAUGCGGAAGAGAUAAGUGCUGAAAGCAUCUAAGCACGAAACUUGCCCCGAGAUGAGUUCUCCCUGAGACUUUAAGUCUCCUGAAGGAACGUUGAAGACGACGACGUUGAUAGGCCGGGUGUGUAAGCGCAGCGAUGCGUUGAGCUAACCGGUACUAAUGAACCGUGAGGCUUAACCU
rnacentral:rRNA from 1 species